AGACCUGGAGCGAACCCCAAAAAGGAACGCCCAGUUCGGACUGUGGUCUGCAACCCGACCACACGAAGCUGGAAUCGCUAGUAAUCGCGGAUCAGAAUGCCGCGGUGAAUACGUUCCCGGGUCUUGUACACACCGCCCGUCACACCAUGGGAGUCAGCAACGCCCGAAGUCAGUGACCCAACCUUUAAAGGAGGGGAGCUGCCGAAGGGCGGGGCAGGUGACUGGGGUGAAGUCGUAACAAGGUAAC
rnacentral:rRNA from 1 species